rnacentral:rRNA from 1 species
AGUAUUUUGACUGUGCAAAGGUAGCAUAAUCAUUAGUCUUUUAAUUGAAGGCUGGAAUGAAUGGUUGGACGAAAUAUUAACUGUUUCAUAUUAAAUUAUUAUAGAAUUUUAUUUUUUAGUAAAAAAGCUAAAAUUUAUUUAAAAGACGAGAAGACCCUAUAAAUCUUUAUAUUUAUUAAUUAUUAAUUCAUUAGAUUAUAAAUAAUUUUUAUUUAAAAUAAUAUUUUAUUGGGGUGAUAUUAAAAUUUAAUAAACUU